UACGGAAGGCAGCAGUGGGGAAUAUUGCACAAUGGGCGCAAGCCUGAUGCAGCCAUGCCGCGUGUAUGAAAAAGGCCUUCGGGUUGUAAAGUACUUUCAGUCGUGAGGAAGGUGUUAAGGUUAAUAACCUUAGCAAUUGACGUUAGCGACAGAAGAAGCACCGGCUAACUCCGUGCCAGCAGCCGCGGUAAUACGGAGGGUGCGAGCGUUAAUCGGAAUUACUGGGCGUAAAGGGCACGCAGGCGGUUAAUUAAGUUGGAUGUGGAAUCCCCGGGCUUAACCUGGGAAUGGCAUUCAAGACUGGUUAGCUAGAGUCUUGUAGAGGGGGUAGAAUUCCAUGUGUAGCGGUGAAAUGCGUAGAGAUGUGGAGGAAUACCGGUGGCGAAGGCGGCCCCUGGCAAAGACUGACGCUCAUGUGCGAAAGCGUGGGGAGCAAACAGGGAUUAGAUACC
rnacentral:rRNA from 1 species